UGGCCAGAAGAAUUGCCACAAAUUCUGGGA
rnacentral:piRNA from 1 species